CGGAUUGUAAAGCUCUGUUGAGUGGGAAGAAAAGUUUCAAGAAUAAUACCUUGAAAUCUGAUGGUACUACUUGAGGGAGCCCCGGCUAACUACGUGC
rnacentral:rRNA from 1 species